rnacentral:piRNA from 1 species
UGAUCAUAAAUACUUUCUACUCAAACAAGG